AUGAUACUUGUCAUUCUUGAAUCUUUGGACAAGGAGGAGAGGGGCAUGCAUCUCACAACAAGGAGCGAAAAAAGAAGAGGAAACAAGAUGGUCAAAUGUGACGAAGAGAACCAAGUGGGGAGAAAAAAUGCUCACGCGCCGAGGAAACACACAUCCAUCCCGCCCGGGAAAAAAGGAUUGAUCACAUCCAGGGAGGUGGAGGAGGCCUCACGACACGGCGGCGACCUUCUCGGCGGUCUUGGCCAGCGACUGGAGGUUGCACUUGACGAUGGUGUCGAUGAACACGCGGGUGUCCUCGAUCGUGUUGCCCGCCGGCACGUCCACGACGUAGGACUCCACGACGACGGUGGCGCUGGACGGCGCGGCUGGGGACGGGUGGACGGUGGUGACGGAGAGGUAGUUCUUGAGCCGGUGCUCGCCACCGACGACGCGGAAACUGAGCACGUGGCUCUCGUCGUCCAGGAUCUCGAGCCGCUCGCGGCUGGACGCCGCGGGGAGGCCCGACACGACGUGCACCUCGCGGAGCGUGCCCACGCCGCCGUCGCCGGCCACCAGGGCGCAGCUGCGCACGAACCGCUUGUACGCCUGCGGCUGGUCGAACCGGCGCACCACGGACCACACCGCCGCCGCGGGCGCCGCCACGUGCUGCACCACCGCGGAGCAGCACUGGCCGGACCCCGGCUCCGCGUGCUCGUGGUGCCGCGCCACCUCCGCCGGGACCUCGCAGUCGUGCUCCCUGCACCUCAUCCCUGCCGUCCCGGCCGCGGCCACGACCGCCUCCGCGCCGCACCCCAUGCCGACGCCAACGCCCGCUAG
rnacentral:rRNA from 1 species